rfam:Cavia porcellus supercont2_3 genomic scaffold, whole genome shotgun sequence.
UGGCGCCCAACGUGGGACUCAAGAACGGUGGACUUCGUGAGGGCUGCUGUUCAUGGACCCAAAGGAGAAAAAGGAAAAGAAAAUAGAGGACCUGGCAAUGUGGGAGCCUGCCAUGCCACUGAACCUCAGUAAGUGAACAGCAAUUAUUGGAGAAGAAAUUAGCCACAUGAGACUUUUGUUGAAAAUUUAGUAAAACUUUUAAAGGCAUGAGGGGUAAAGGUGCAUAUUGAGCAAUUAUGCCAAUACUUUGAUAUUAUAAGAGAGGUUUGCCCAU